CUAACAAGGAUUCCCCUAGUAACUGCGAGUGAAGCGGGAAAAGCUCAAAUUUAAAAUCUGGCAGUCUUUGGCUGUCUGAGUUGUAAUCUAGAGAAGUAUUAUCCGCGCUGAACCGUGUACAAGUYUCCUGGAAUGGAGCGUCAUAGAGGGUGAGAAUCCCGUCUUUGACACGGACUGCCAGGGCUUUGUGAUGUGCUCUCAAAGAGUCGAGUUGUUUGGGAAUGCAGCUCAAAAUGGGUGGUAAAUUCCAUCUAAAGCUAAAUAUUGGCGAGAGACCGAUAGCGAACAAGUACCGUGAGGGAAAGAUGAAAAGAACUUUGGAAAGAGAGUUAAACAGUACGUGAAAUUGCUGAAAGGGAAACGCUUGAAGUCAGUCACGUUGGCCAGGGAUCAACCUUGCUUUUUUUUUUUUGCUGGGCUUACUUUCUGGUCAAUGGGUCAGCAUCAAUUUUGACUGGUGGAAAAAGUUCAAGGGGAAUGUGGCAUCUUUUGAUGUGUAAUAGCCUUUGUUCGCAUACACCGGUUGGGAUUGAGGAACUCAGCCAUGCCGCAAGGCCGGGUUUUUUUAACCACGUACAUGCUUAGGAUGCUGGCAUAAUGGCUUUAAUCGACCCGUCUUGAAACACGGACCAAGGAGUCUAACAUGCCUGCGAGUGUUUGGGUGAAAAACUCGAGUGCGUAAUGAAAGUGAAAGUUGAGAUCCCUGUCAUGGGGAGCAUUGACGCCCGGAUCUGACCUUUUGUGACGAUUCUGCGGUAGAGCAUGUAUGUUGGGACCCGAAAGAUGGUGAACUAUGCCUGAAUAGGGUGAAGCCAGAGGAAACUCUGGUGGAGGCUCGUAGCGAUUCUGACGUGCAAAUCGAUCGUCAAAUUUGGGUAUAGGGGCGAAA
rnacentral:rRNA from 1 species